rnacentral:rRNA from 1 species
UAGGGAAUCUUCCACAAAUGGACGCAGUCUGAUGGAGCAACGCCGCGUGAGUGAAGAAGGGUUUCGGCUCGUAAAGCUCUGUUGUUAAAGAAGAACGUGGGUAAGAGUAACUGUUUACCCAGUGACGGUAUUUAACCAGAAAGCCACGGCUAACUACGUGCCAG